rnacentral:rRNA from 1 species
GCAUAUCAAUAAGCGGAGGAAAAGAAACCAACAGGGAUUGCCCUAGUAACGGCGAGUGAAGCGGCAACAGCUCAAAUUUGAAAUCUGGCUUCGGCCCGAGUUGUAAUUUGCAGAGGAAGCUUUAGGCGCGGCACCAUCUGAGUCCCCUGGAACGGGGCGCCACAGAGGGUGAGAGCCCCGUAUAGAUGGACGCCUAGCCUGUGUAAAGCUCCUUCGACGAGUCGAGUAGUUUGGGAAUGCUGCUCAAAAUGGGAGGUAAAUUUCUUCUAAAGCUAAAUAUUGGCCAGAGACCGAUAGCGCACAAGUAGAGUGAUCGAAAGAUGAAAAGCACUUUGAAAAGAGGGUUAAAUAGCACGUGAAAUUGUUGAAAGGGAAGCGCUUGUGACCAGACUUGCGCCGGGCGGAUCAUCCGGUGUUCUCACCGGUGCACUCCGCCCGGCUCAGGCCAGCAUCGGUUCUCGCGGGGGGAUAAAGGCCCUGGGAACGUAGCUCCUCCGGGAGUGUUAUAGCCCGGGGCGUAAUGCCCUCGCGGGGACCGAGGACCGCGCAUCUGCAAGGAUGCUGGCGUAAUGGUCAUCAGCGACCCGUCUUGAAACACGGACCAAGGAGUCAAGGUUUUGCGCGAGUGUUUGGGUGUAAAACCCGCACGCGUAAUGAAAGUGAACGUAGGUGAGAGCUUCGGCGCAUCAUCGACCGAUCCUGAUGUUUUCGGAUGGAUUUGAGUAGGAGCGUUAAGCCUUGGACCCGAAAGAUGGUGAACUAUGCUUGGAUAGGGUGAAGCCAGAGGAAACUCUGGUGGAGGCUCGCAGCGGUUCUGACGUGCAAAUCGAUCGUCAAAUCUGAGCAUGGGGGCGAAAGACUAAUCGAACCAUCUAGUAGCUGGUUACCGCCGAAGU